rnacentral:rRNA from 1 species
ACUCAAAUGAAUUGACGGGGACCCGCACAAGUAGCGGAGCAUGUGGUUUAAUUCGAAGCAACGCGAAGAACCUUACCUAAGCUUGACAUCCUUUUGACCUCUCCCUAAUAGGAGAUUUCCCUUCGGGGACAGAAGUGACAGGUGGUGCAUGGUUGUCGUCAGCUCGUGUCGUGAGAUGUUGGGUUAAGUCCCGCAACGAGCGCAACCCUUGCCUUUAGUUGCCAGCAUUAAGUUGGGCACUCUAGAGGGACUGCCAGGGAUAACCUGGAGGAAGGUGGGGAUGACGUCAAAUCAUCAUGCCCCUUAUGCUUAGGGCUACACACGUGCUACAAUGGGUGGUACAGAGGGCAGCCAAGUCGUGAGGCGGAGCUAAUCCCUUAAAGCCAUUCUCAGUUCGGAUUGCAGGCUGAAACUCGCCUGCAUGAAGCUGGAGUUACUAGUAAUCGCAGAUCAGAAUGCUGCGGUGAAUGCGUUCCCGGGUCUUGUACACACCGCCCGU